AUUGAACGCUGGCGGCAGGCCUAACACAUGCAAGUCGAGCGGAUGAAUGGAGCUUGCUCCUGGAUUCAGCGGCGGACGGGUGAGUAAUGCCUAGGAAUCUGCCUGGUAGUGGGGGAUAACGUCCGGAAACGGGCGCUAAUACCGCAUACGUCCUGUGGGAGAAAGUGGGGGAUCUUCGGACCUCACGCUAUCAGAUGAGCCUAGGUCGGAUUAGCUAGUUGGUGGGGUAAAGGCCUACCAAGGCGACGAUCCGUAACUGGUCUGAGAGGAUGAUCAGUCCCACUGGAACUGAGACACGGUCCAGACUACUACGGGAGGCAGCAGUGGGGAAUAUUGGACUAUGGGCGAAAGCCUGAUCCAGCCAUGCCGCGUGUGUGAAGAAGGUCUUCGGAUUGUAAAGCACUUUAAGUUGGGAGGAAGGGCAGUAAGUUAAUACCUUGCUGUUUUGCCGGUACCAACAGAAUAAGCACCGGCUAACUUCGUG
rnacentral:rRNA from 1 species